rnacentral:rRNA from 1 species
UUUUGGACAAUGGGGGAAACCCUGAUCCAGCAAUGCCGCGUGAGUGAAGAAGGCCUUCGGGUUGUAAAGCUCUUUUGUCAGGGAAGAAACACCGGCUCUAACACAGUCCGGGAAUGACGGUACCUGAAGAAUAAGCACCGGCUAACUACGUGCCAGCAGCCGCGGUAAUACGUAGGGUGCAAGCGUUAAUCGGAAUUACUGGGCGUAAAGCGUGCGCUGGCGGUUAUACAAGACAGGCGUGAAAUCCCCGGGCUUAACCUGGGAAUGGCGCCUGUGACUGUAUAGCUAGAGUGUGUCAGAGGGGGGUAGAAUUCCACGUGUAGCAGUGAAAUGCGUAGAUAUGUGGAGGAAUACCAAUGGCGAAGGCAGCCCCCUGGGAUAACACUGACGCUCAUGCACGAA